AGAAAUUUAUGAAUAUUUUUCUUCCAAUUUUUCAGACUAUAUUCUUUGCGGUUUAAUCUAGAAUAUCUGACAGUUCCAAGGAAACAUAUGCAUAACGUCUCUCAAAAAUGAACAUUUUAUCCCGAGCAAUUUGGCAACUCUCAAAUGUUCAUACGGCGUUUUUCUCAGCACGGCAGAAUACUCUUAAGACUUUCCUCCUCGGCGAGGUAGUGCGCUGCGAGGCGUGAAUAGUCGAUUAUCGAUUAUCGAUAUUUCCCCAUUUGAAGCCAUGGUGAAGAAUCGAUUUUUAAGGUGUUCGUUGCGAACACCUUGUUUAUCGAUCCUUUUCCAUUGGUUUCAAGGGCAGAUCGAUCGAUACAUCGCAACGCACGCCAUGCCACUGGUGCGCUCUUUCUUAAGACUGCGAGGGAUCGUGAUAAAAAAACAGAAGGAAUUAAGUUUAAAAAUUAUAUUUCUUCAGGACACAAAACGGUAAUAACAAGAUAAGAGAAUGUAAAUAAACUUCCACAUCGGGGCGAGGGGUGAAAAAAAUGAGAGUGAGAGUGGAACGAAAAGAAAGUACGUCAGCCAGCGUUGCGAUGAGGGGGAAAAAGGUAAAUAAACUUCCAACAUCGGGGCGGGGGGUUGAAAAAAAUGAGAGUGAGAGUGGAACGAAAAGAAAGUACGUCAGCCAGCGUUGCGAUGAGGGGGAUAAAGGUAACCACAGAUAUGUUUCAGGGUGCAGGAGCGGUCGUUUUAAGUCUCCUUCACGACCUCGGAAAGGAAAUGCUGAUCGAACCCGUCAAUCUGCGAACACAAUAUGUCAACAAGUUUUAAUCAGAGUAUGUUCCUGAAAAUAGUAAGUCAAUUUUCGUGUUCAAAAAUGAUAGACAAUACCAAUUAGUGUAAACCCAAAAAAAAAAAAAAAAAAAAAAAAAAAUCUCCGAGAGAAGUUUCGCUGUAUCGUCACCUUCCGGCCAAUUACAAGGUGCCAUGCGACGCACAGUGGAUCGAAUCAAUAGGAGAGGUCAGACAAAAUUUGGAAACUUUAAACACUUAUAACUCCGUUUAUACACAAAUUUGAGGUUCUAAAAGUGGUUUCACUGGUCUCCUCGUAAAAUUGUCUUCGAAAAGCACCCCUAGAAAUGUAAAAUCUGACGAAAUAAACAUCAAAAUUUACAGUUUUAGUAUACAAAAUUUC
rnacentral:lncRNA from 1 species